ACGGCGGGCCGUGACUGGCGCGCUGGGAUGGGACGGACCAUCGGGGAGCGGCCCGGAGUGACCGAGUGCCGUGCGCCUGGGCCAGACCG
rnacentral:ncRNA from 1 species